GAGUUUGAUUAUGGCUCAGGAUGAACGCUAGCUACAGGCUUAACACAUGCAAGUCGAGGGGCAUCAUGGUAUUAGCUUGCUAAUACUGAUGGCGACCGGCGCACGGGUGAGUAACACGUAUCCAACCUGGCUUUCACUCAGGGAUAGCCCAUCGAAAGAUGGAUUAAUACUUGAUGGUAUAUACAUUUCGCAUGUUUUGUAUAUUAAAGAUUUAUCGGUGAUAGAUGGGGAUGCGUACCAUUAGUUUGUUGGCGGGGUAACGGCCCACCAAGACUUCGAUGGUUAGGGGUUCUGAGAGGAAGGUCCCCCACAUUGGAACUGAGACACGGUCCAAACUCCUACGGGAGGCAGCAGUGAGGAAUAUUGGUCAAUGGACGUAAGUCUGAACCAGCCAAGUAGCGUGAAGGAUGACUGCCCUCUGGGUUGUAAACUUCUUUUAUAUGUGAAUAAAUUUUCCUACGUGUAGGUUUUUGCAUGAACAUAUGAAUAAGCAUCGCA
rnacentral:rRNA from 1 species